GACGGAAAACUUCUGACUAUUAUGGGGAAAAAAGUUUUUUUUUGGUCUACGAAGUUACUAGAUCUAUAUAACAGUUUGAUAACCACUGCGUAUUUACCCCGUUUAGAUUUAGCUAAUUAACAAAUUAGCAUCGAAGCUCGUGCUAACCUGGACAGCUUCCGUUUGCCGGUGAUUGUUUAUCGAAACAUUGAAUGCACCUUGUGCGAGUGUCUGGCUAUAGAAUAUCAACACCAACACAUACUGUCACAUAGUGACAUAGCAGAUGUUCCUUCAGAGGCGAAAUCUCUGCAAGAUGACGGGGAUGGCAGUGAACAGUUUUUCAGAUAUCCCUUAGCGGAAAUGCCAAAAGUAAGCUGACAGACAAUCAAGGAUUGAAAUCACUGAAUCCAAAUUUAGUUGCAGCCAAAGUGAGCGAAAGUAUGAAAAAUGUUAUGAAUCAAGAAAGACCUUCAGUUAAUACCAAGGAAGUGAUUACAGUUAACACAAGUCUGGACCUGGACACAUUCUCAAAGCUCUUACCUUUCUUGCGAUGUUACUUUGUGAAUUCUCCGGUGAAUGAAGAAAACAAACUAAAUGUGGAGGACCAAGCCUCAAAAACUACUAGACUUAUCAAGACUACAAAUCCAAUUUAUUCAACUAAUGCUGAUGCCUCAAACACAACCAGACUUAACGAGACCACUGACCCAACCUAUUCAACUAAUGCUGAUGGCUCAAUGCAAAAAAAAAAUCCUAAUGGUCAUUUCAAUUUGCUCAACUUUCUUGAUUGCUGUCGCAUUGGCUCCUCAACAGCUGUUCAAUUUAGUAUUCAAAGCAAUGCUGUGGUCUGCACCUCCAAUGCUGCUGAAGAAAUAGAGAUUGCGAACAGUACAGAAGAAAACCAUGUUUAUGACUCAGUAAUAUAUACAGGAUAUCAGACCUUCCAGCCCAAGACUUCAGACGACCUAACUGAAACGAUUAAUUCAAAUGCUACAAGUAUUUCUGACCUAAGUAUCCAGCCUGAAACUUCGGAGAGCCUAACUGAAAGCAUCCCAACCAGUAUUGCUGACCAAACUCCCAAGACUACAGAGGGCCUAACUAUAACUAUUAAUGGAACCUCCACCCGUAUUGCUGACCAAACUGAAACAGAUCCAGUUUAUAUUAAUAUGGCUUGCCAAACUAUCCAGCCCAAAUCUUCAGAGUGCCUUAUUGAAAGCAUCUAUAAAAUACCUACAAACAAUGCUGUCCGAAUUUUCCAGCCCAAGACUUCAGAGAGUCAAACUGCAACUGUUAGUUGAACCUCUACCUGUGUUGCUGACCAAACUCUUAAUGGUUCCAAAUGCCCAACUGAAACUGAUCCAGUUUAUAUUAAUAUGGCUUGCCAAACUACUGUCAAUGAAAGGAAUAAAUGAAAACAUUUGAGCAGCCUUAAAUAUGCUGAAAUUUUAUUCUACAAAAAUGUAACUUCCUUCAGAAUGAAAAAAAAAACAAGUUUUGGGCAAUUAUAUGGAAAAAAAAACAAGUUUGGGACAAUUUGAAAAAUAUCUGAUUCAGGUCUUUUUGAAUGAUUGUUGUCUUUUUUUAAUAUUAAAAUAUUUUUUUUUUGUGUUUUAGAUCUAUAUGUUAUCACUGUAUAAUUGAGUUGUUUAAUUUCAUAUGCAUAAGUCUUGUUAAGUUGUUUAGUAUUUCAUAGAGAUAUUUCCUUUUGAUACCAUCAUAAGCGAUUUAAGUUGAUGUACUAGUACAUUGUUUUCUUGACAUUUUUUUUAGUUUGUAUUUAUGUUAUGAGUGCUGCUUUCAAUCUGUUAGUAUUACUUCUUCCAAAAUUCUUGAUAUUGGUUAGUCUAAUUGUGAAUUCAGGUUUUUUCCUCCAUUUUUAGUUGCUCUGUUGUAAUUUUGGUCCUCUCCUGGUGCUUCGUAAUUUUUUAUUUCUGAUGUUUAAAUUAGAGUUGGUGAGUUUAUAGUGUUGGUAGGUUUAUAGUGUUGGUGGCUGUUCAUAUUUUCCUUUGUCUCCAUCUUGUUUUAUUUAGGAACUCCUCAAAGUAUUCAGCCCAUUUGUCAAUGACCCUUCUGUUUUUUUUUUGUGACGAGGACACCAUUAUUGUUCUCAUACAUGUGUGAUCUUGCUUGAAAUCCAUUCUUGUCAUCCCUUAUUUUCAUGCCCAUUCCUCUCGCAUCAAGGUUCUCAAUGAGUGCUCUUUGUUUUUUUUUUAUUGCCUCAUUUUUAUGCUUUCUGACAGAUUUUGUAACCCUUCGCCUUGCUUUCUUGUACUUCUUUCUGGUUUCUUUCUUUAGCAUUAUUUGUCUGUUCAAUAUGCCUGCAUUCUGUAUGUCAGACUCUCCUUUUCUUUUGCUUAAAUCCAACCAUGUCAUCUGCUUUACUUUUAAUAGCAUGUUGUUGUUUUUGCAUUGCUCAUUUGUUAUAAUUAGGAUUACCCACAGGCUAUGUCUGUUGUUGUGCUUCAACAAUUUAUCUUUUGGUCUGUGAAUUCUAGUAUAUGCUUCAUUUAAUUGGAGUGGCCAGUUUUAAAUUCCUUUGCAUACACACUUCUGGCCUGUGAACUGUUCUCAUGUAACAUUUUGACCCAAUAUCCCCCAUCCAAUUUCAAUACUCUUCUAAGAUAUUACUUUGAAUUAGAGCGGAUCACUUAUAUUGACUUUCCAUACACAAACACAUCCUUCUGGCCGUUUUUUUUUUUUAACCACCACCCCAACACACAAAAUAAAAUAUCUAUAUCUGCUUUUUCUUUUUAAAACAUUUUACACACAUAAAACAAAAUUUGUGUCCUAGCUUUGAUAGAAAAAAAAAGAUUGUUUUCAUAUAAUGUCUACAAAAACAAGUCAGGGGCCACAUACUGCCAUUGAAAUUUACUUUCAAAAGGAGUUUUUUUUUAAAAUGGUGAUUAAAACAGAAAGAAGAAUAAAAUUGUCUUUUUGUUAUAGCAACUUAAAGAUAAAAUUGGGAAUGAAACAUCAUUUUGGGAAGUUUUAAUUGCUUUAGUUUCCAUUUGUGAACUGGCUUAGUUGUUCUAGAGCAGGGGUUCUCAACUUGUGGGUCGCAACCCCCUUGGGUGUCGCCUAAGACCAUCGAAAAUAUGGAUUGUUUUUGUCUAUUCUUCUUUUGCUGUGUGUGUG